rnacentral:sRNA from 1 species
GCCAGGCAUGGUGACUCAUGCCUGUAAUCCCAACACUGGGAGGCCGAGGUGGGAGGAUUACUUGAGGUCAGGAGUUCAAGACCAGCCUGGCCAAUACGGUGAAACCCCAUCUCUA